rnacentral:rRNA from 1 species
UCGAGGGGUAUUCAGUUUUUCGGACUGGAGAGACCGGCGCACGGGUGCGUAACGCGUAUGCAAUCUACCUUUUACAGGGGAAUAGCCCAGAGAAAUUUGGAUUAAUGCCCCAUAGUAUAUAAACUUCGCAUGUUGUUUAUAUUAAAGUUCCAACGGUAAAAGAUGAGCAUGCGUCCCAUUAGUUAGUUGGUAAGGUAACGGCUUACCAAGACGAUGAUGGGUAGGGGUCCUGAGAGGGAGAUCCCCCACACUGGUACUGAGACACGGACCAGACUCCUACGGGAGGCAGCAGUGAGGAAUAUUGGACAAUGGGCGCAAGCCUGAUCCAGCCAUGCCGCGUGCAGGAAGACGCAUCUAUGGUGUGUAAACUGCUUUUGUACAGGAAGAAACACUCCCUCGUGAGGGAGCUUGACGGUACUGUAAGAAUAAGGAUCGGCUAACUCCGUGCCAGCAGCCGCGGUAAUACGGAGGAUCCAAGCGUUAUCCGGAAUCAUUGGGUUUAAAGGGUCCGUAGGCGGUCUAAUAAGUCAGUGGUGAAAGCCCAUCGCUCAACGAUGGAACGGCCAUUGAUACUGUUAGACUUGAAUUACUGGGAAGUAACUAGAAUAUGUAGUGUAGCGGUGAAAUGCUUAGAUAUUACAUGGAAUACCAAUUGCGAAGGCAGGUUACUACCAGUGGAUUGACGCUGAUGGACG